AAAGUGUCCACCCAACCAGGGCAAGAAAAAGGACAGUGCUCUCUGGGUCAAAGAUGGCGCAGAUGAAGGCCUGCCCAGCCAUCAGCAAACUCGAGGCAGAGAGAGAAAGGAAGAAAUCACAGGCCUGAGCCAACUGAGCUGGUUGAGACAAGAGUAAACAGGAGUUUACUAUCCACUUGCUGAGGAAGACCCAUCCAGUGAGACAGCCUAAUCACAAGAGAAGAAAAUACAUGGGAAGUGACAAGCCUGGAGAAUUCAGAAUCCCAAGCCCUGCUUGGCAGCAUGAACUGAACCUUGAACUUCCCCACGGCCUUGUGUUCUCUGACCCUGUGAUCCUCUUCUGGUUCCCACCCACAGGAGCCUAAUUCUGGUGGUCCUUGUCCCAAGCUCAGAACCAGCCAUGGUGCUAAUGGCAGCUCCUUCCCAAAAGCACCCAGCUCAGGCUCCUUCUCAGGAUCUCAAGUCUAAAAAACCUCCCAGCUCAAGUUUAUGGCUAAAGAAGAGGUCUUGUUGUUCUGCCUACAAUAUAGCAACCUUGUCUCCAUAAAAAGAAGAGAACGUAGACUCUCAAAGAGACACCAGAGCCACAAAAUGUAGACAGAUCCCACACCUACUGAUGAGGAUGACGGUUAGAGGGCCACCCUAGGGGGGAUAGAACUGGAUAGGCUUUUCAAAAGGGGCAGCUCUGAAAUCUGUAGAAAAUAAGGUAGUUUUCUCUGUAAUUGAACAAAGGAAGAGAGGAACAGAUUAAGGAGCAAGGAUUAAGGGAGGAGGGAUAUUAUCAGAUACCAUUUUGCAUAAAUAUCAUAAUGUGGUGAAUUUAAUUAUUUUUUACUUUCAGCCAAAAGUUUUGGUAUUGCAUUCAGAACCAUUGAAAAAAUG